AAUAAAGAUGGGAACAAAACAAAUAAAAAUAAAGAAGAGGGAGAAAUUACGAUACUAAGCUUAUUGCGCUAUUACAACCUUUCUAUAAAAAUACACAAAAACAAAUACGUGAAAUAAAUUAACUAAAAAUAAAUUAAUAAGAUAAAAAAUUACAAAGAAAAAUAAAUUAAAAAUUAAAUUACAGAAUUUUAAAGAAGAGAAAAAUAAAAGAAAUACUAACCUUUAAAUGUAGAUUCACUCUUUUUUUUCUUUUUUUUAAUAACAAAAAAAAAUACAAGAAAACAAAUAAAAGAAAUUAUUCACAAAAAUUAAUUCUAUUAAUUAAAAUUACUUACCUCCCCGGCAACGGCGACAAAAACUUAUUGUGCAAAUUUUA
rnacentral:lncRNA from 1 species